rnacentral:tRNA from 1 species
GGGCCUAUAGCUCAGUUGGUUAGAGCACCUGACUCAUAAUCAGGUGGUCCCAGGUUCGAGUCCUGGUGGGCCCACAA